GUCCAUUAAUCAAGAACGAAAGUUAGGGGAUCGAAGACGAUCAGAUACCGUCGUAGUCCUAACUAUAAACGAUGUCAACCAAGGAUUGGAUGAAAUAAAGAAAUUCGCGGAUGAAGAAACAUUGUUUCGGAAACCAAGAGUUUCACAACUACCUUGUUCAGAACUUAAAGAGAAAUCUCGAGUUUAUGGACUUCAGGGGGAGUAUGGUCACAAGGCUGAAACUUAAAGGAAUUGACGGAAGGGCACACCAGGAGUGGAGCCUGCGGCUUAAUUUGACUCAACACGGGAAAACUUACCAAGACCGAACAGUAGAAGGAAUGACAGAUUAAGAGUUCUUUCAUGAUUUAUUGGGUAGUGGUGCAUGGCCGUUCUUAGUUGGUGGAGUGAUUUGUCAGGUUAAUUCCGGUAACGAACGAGACUGAAACCUAUUAAUUAGUUUCCUGCCUAUACGACAGGAAUCUCCGCAAGGUCAGGUGCCUCGGUACCACUUCUUAAAGGGACACAUUUCA
rnacentral:rRNA from 1 species